rnacentral:ribozyme from 1 species
UGCCCAGCAACUCCUAUCCCUACCUCCUCGUGGUACUGGCCGGAGAAUGAUUAAUUUUAGGGAAGAUCGGGUAACCAACUCUGGUGGUUGGUCGUAUGCUGACAGGGAAUG